UCAAAUGCCACCAUAGUAUUUUUAUUGAAGCCACGUAAGUUAGAUGGCGCUGUGGGAUAGCGUUAACAUGGCCCAACACUGCGCAACGAAGAAGGCGAUGGGGAAGGCGGAAAGUCUCAUUUAAAAAUACCCGCUUUUUUGUUUCUCGUCACUUUAACCUUCUGCAAUGAUCACGGCAGCACGAACAACUAUUUUAUAUUAUUGUUAUUAGACAUAAACAAUCAGUUGACUUGAGCAGAGCGGCGGUUGAUACAACUUCUCCUGUGCACUCAAACAAUUCCCUGUCUUCAUCAUUUGACUCCACCGACUCACAGGACACACUCAUUAUUGAAGAAAGGUUUUCAAGUACACGAAUGAGGCUCGAUGAUGAAGCUAAAAAAGUACAUCACAACCAAGGAAUGUGAAUGAGAAAUAUCCCAGAGUAAUUGUGGUGUUCCUGUAUCUCAGUGGACCCCACCCCCACGAAAAGGAUUGUCUUGUCAAGGCCAGAAAAGGCGUCUACAUCUCAAGUGGGGAUAUCUUGUCUUCUAGAAGAGUGAAACAAGCAUUGAGGAGCAUCUUCAAGACAUCGCUGGAAGUGCUCAGUCCUAUCACCUGGCUGUUGAAACCAAGAAUUCAGUUCACCAGUUCUUCAUUCUUGAUCAACAUGUCAUUCCAUGCAAGUCAGCCUCUUCUUUUGUUGCCUUUUGAUGAAAUGUUUAAUGGGAUUAUGUUUAAUGUUUAAUGGGUUUAAUUCACCUAAAAAUGAGAAUUCUGUCAUUAACUCAUGCCAUUCCAAACCCGUAAGACCUUUGUUCAUCUUUGAAACAACAAUGAAGAUAUUUUAAUGAAAUCUGAAAGUUUACGACUGCUUUCAUUUCAGCAAAUCACUCAUGCGUCGUGGUGCUCUCAUGUACGCAAGUCCGGUUUUGCGUUGCUUCAUAAAACUGAAGUUAAAUCAACAGAGUCACAUGGGUAACUUUAAUGAUGUCUUUACUGCCUUUCUGCACCUUGAAAGUGGUAGUUGUGUAGGCUGUCAAUGAAGUGACAGAAGUCUCCCAGAUUUCAUCAAAAAUAUCUUCAUUUGUGUUCUGAAAAUGAACAAAAGCCUUACAGGUUUAGAAUGACAUGAGGGUGAGUUAAGGAGAGACUUUAUUUUUUGGUGAACUAAUUUUAAGGCACACUUUGUUUUGGGCACCAUUUAUAACACUAUUCUACACAAGAUGUACACUCUUGUUGUCAGAAUGAAAGUGUACAACAAAUAUGCUGGCAAAGUGAAGUCCUUGUAUUGCUGAGGUUAGAGCAAGGCUGCUUAGCUAGGUGGUUCAACAGAUUCUGUACUGCAUACAGUGAUGUAUUGUCAUUUCAUGCAGAUGUGAUGUAUUUUUGUGCAUAUACGUGUAUGUUUUUUGAGCCUGACAACGUUUAAAUAAAUGUUUUAAAUGUGA